GGGAACAGUGGGUGGAGCUUUCCUUCGAAGAACCAGGAUCUCCCCACUGCCCACAUCUGGCGUAGGCAAGGGAGAGUAAGGGUCCACAGUCUAGAGGGAGAGGCAGGAAGGCCCCCUCCGUGGCAAGUAGACUGCCUCCCACAACACGGUCACAGGCUGGAGAGAAAUGAGGAAGGAGACCAGCAUGAGCGAAAGUAGGAUGCAGGUAACUAUGCCAUGUGACUACAUACUGGCCAAUAGGAUGUGGGUGUUAGUGAUGUGGUCCACUUCUAAAUCGUGCCCUCAAAGGCCUAAGCAGUUCUGGGCAGGGGGACAGCCUCUCUGUCUCAGUGUCUCCGGAAAGUAACUCCCAGACCCCUGCCGAGGGGGCGGGGCAGUCACCUGGCUACAUCGGCGGGCAGAGGGGAUCGAGAACCUUCCACCAGCCUCCAGUCGAGGUUCCUGUGCUCAUCCCCUCCUGUUCCUUCACCCUCAGGAGCAUCUGGCACCACCAUGAAAUUUUUUAAAAUGGCAGCCACCCCUCAUGGCCACCAGCCAGUCAUCCUUUCCUGUCCUGGCGACCGAGCUCGUGUCCAGAAACUGCAGAGGCUCCAGUGGGAAUCACCGUGCGGAAGGUGGGAGGCUGGCCACACGGGCCCUGCCUCUGGUGGCACGGACUCAGGCCAGAUCCCGAAGCAGGAGAUGGCAGGCCCCGUGGAGAUUCCGGGGAGGCCGGGCUGCAUCCCACCUCAUGCAGCCGGCAUCCCGACAACUCCUGUCUCCGCAGGAACCUCAGCUGGAGCCUCAGGGCGGGGGUAGCCGGCCAGGACUGCGGCCAGCAAGGCCCUCGCUCUGCGGCCCAUCCAGGCUUCCGGCGGUGGUGACAGGCUCGAGCACCCAGCCGUCUACUUGAUGCUGCCACUUGGACGUUUUACCGACCUCUUGACCUUACCAUGCCUGACCCUGGAGUGCACCCCAUCCCAAGCCAACCCCAGUCUGCUUUCCCC
ensembl:lncRNA